AUAACGACUCUCGGCAACGGAUAUCUAGGCUCUCGCAUCGAUGAAGAACGUAGCGAAAUGCGAUACUUGGUGCGAAUUGCAGAAUCCCGUGAACCAUCGAGUUUUUGAACGCAAGUUGCGCCCGAAGCCAUUAGGCUGAGGGCACGUCUGCCUGGGCGUCACGC
rnacentral:rRNA from 1 species